CAGUCGCCGCGGGAAUACGUAGGGUGCGAGCGUUAAUCGGAAUUACUGGGCGUAAAGCGUGCGCAGGCGGUUCGUUAAGACAGAUGUGAAAUCCCCGGGCUUAACCUGGGAACUGCAUUUGUGACUGGCGAGCUAGAGUAUGGCAGAGGGGGGUAGAAUUCCACGUGUAGCAGUGAAAUGCGUAGAGAUGUGGAGGAAUACCGAUGGCGAAGGCAGCCCCCUGGGCCAAUACUGACGCUCAUGCACGAAAGCGUGGGGAGCAAACAGGAUUAGAUACCCGGGUAGUCCCUGUCUCUUAUAC
rnacentral:rRNA from 1 species